rnacentral:misc_RNA from 1 species
UAUACAAUGAAAACAGCUUCUGCAACUAUUCAGUACGAGAAUGAGCUUGGACAAUAUUACAAAUACGAAUUUACCAUGGAAGAGGAAACAUAGACAUGUAUCAGCAUUUCAAUCAGAAUUAUUUUAUUAGGGAUUAUUCAUCACUUUUUACUUGCUAGGCUACUGCUCAUAGCAGGUGGCAGCUACUCUUUAAAUAAACCAGUAGGAACAGAAUUUGUCCUUGCAUAAGGACAGCCUUUAAUAUCUUCAUAUAGAGAAUUAAUUUGCAGGAAUAAACUUGAUUGAGAUGCUGUUGACACAGUGACGUUCAUCUGUAGGAGUCUUGAACCCUUCACCUUUGAAAACAUGACCCAAGUGCCCCCCACAAGCUGCACAUGUGAUCUCAGUUCUCCUCCCAUCUGAGUCUGGCUGAAAUAUAUCCAUUGUUUCUAUUUUCAUUAAAUCCAACCAAAGAUGCCUACAAGUGGUAAAGACAUUAAAGUUUCAACUAAAUGAAAGAAAAAGAGCAAAACUCACAGAGCAAUUUAUGGCUCCAGGAAGACCUUCAUAGAAAGCAGGCCAACCACAACCAGAGUCAAAUUUGGUAACUGAUUUGUAAAGUGGCGUCCCACAAGCAGCACAAUUGUAAACUCCUUCACCAAAGCACUUAUCAUAUUCUCCUGUGAAUUUCAUCCUGUAUGUCAUGUCAUCAACACAGGCACAAUGAGAGAUACAGGAUCACAUUAAAUUACACAUCUUGAAGGUCAGAGACAGGCUGCCAAUCAUUGAAAUCUACAACUCAUUACUAGCGUAUAUUCAAGAAGAAUAAUCAAAAUAACUAUCAAACAAUGACAGGAGCCAGUCAUUCCAAUAGCAGGCAAUGAUAGAAGCAAAUUGUUAAAUUCCUUCAAAUUUUAAUUUGUUCUAUUUAACACAUAUCAUUUGGAAUCGCAUGAUGAAUAUUUUUCAUCAUACAAUCGUUUGAUCAUUCCAAUUAUUUCUAGCGAACACCUAAAUAGUGGUGUUGUGCACCGCGAAAACGCAUAAACUAUAAAGAAAUAAAAUAAAUACACAAAAUAUCAAUAUUUACAUGAUUCACCCUCUACCAUAAUCACAGGCAUCCACAGGCUCCAUUAUCCACUACAAUCAAGUAAUAAAUUAUCAUUACAGGCUCAAAACUAUAGUAACUCAAAAGAACUUCUAUACAGUACUUCUAUUAAUAAUGUUAGUACUCAGUCCUAAUUUACAUAAUAUAGGAAAUAUAACUCUAUCUUAUUCAAAAAUUUUCCUCUCACUCAAAUUAAGAAAAUAUCUUCCAAAUAAACUAAGAUUUUCUGUCAUAAAUCCAACAAUUUCCACAUUGACACAAAAUCCAUCAACCAUUGCAUACCUCAAAUUUUUUAGUGUUAUCAAAUCGGCAAAUUUUCCUACUUGAGCUUGAAUUUUUUAAAUCUUCUAUUCUUCGAUCUUCAUUUUGGAUAUAACUUGCUUCUUUCUUCAAAAAAAAAAUCUACGUAUCAUCAAUUUUCUUGAUUUUGCAUCAACAGCUUCACCUUAAUUUCAACUCUCCACCAUCAUCAUUGUUGCAUGUGCGACUUUUUACAUGUCUCAACAGCUUUACCUUCAACCAAACUCACCAAAAUUAUCCCCAUACCCAAUUGUUGUGCACUGCCAAAGCCUAUAAAUUAAAAAGAAAUAAAAUAAACACACAAAAAACCAAUAUUUACAUGGUUACUUUCUCCGCAUAGAACUACAUCUACGGGUAUGCAAUCAUCCGCUACAAUCAAAUGCUAAAUCAUUACAAGCUCAAAAUUAUAUUACCCUUAUUAGUUUAAUCCUCUCAGUCUCCUCUAGAUAUAACCUAAUAUAGUUACUACUUUAAUUAGUACACCAUCCAUAAAAGUAUCUUCAACUACAAUGGACAAUAAUACAUUUCUCUUGCAUUAUAUCCUUUCUCCACCUCAGGACAAAGCCCCUUUUUUUUACGAUAAGCGACAAACCCCACACCAUAAGCUAAAAGCCAAUAUCUUCGAUAGGAAAGUCACCCUCUAUGUGUAAAGCCAAAUUAAUCUCUACACAUUAGUCCUCACUCCUAAUCUAAUUAGGAAUACUAAUUUAGAAAUAAUAUUAAAAUAAGAGAUAUAUAGGUCCCACCCAAAUUGGGAAAAUUCUUUCGAAUUAACUAAGAUUUUGAGUCAUAAAUAAAAAUCCUUGUUCAGAAAUUAAUUCCUUCAUUAUUUAAGCUAAAAGGUGAAUAUUUGAUAGAAUAGAGAGAUUCCAAAACAUUUCUGGAAAACAAAAAAUUGAACUAAACAAAUGAGUUGUAAGAUCCACAAAAGAAAUGAAACGAUUCAUCAAAACGGCGGUCACUUCCAUUGUUGUACAGAAAGUAUAAUUAUUUUCACAUGCCAAUUGAAUUGAAGUAGUGAUACCACAAGAAUCCCAGCAACACCCCCAAAAAAUCAACAAUCUCUAAGCCUAAAAGUAGCUCGAUUUUAUCACAUCGACAAACUCAGUUUCAUAACAAAGAUAGAAUCGUAACUCCAAUCAUCCAAAGAGCCAGUAAUUCGACUGAAAUAGAAAAGUCGAAAUAAAUCAAACAUUACGGACUAAUUGUUCUAAUAUCAAAUGAUAAUAUAAUUGAGGAUAGAGCAAAAUUUGGAAUUUACUCAGUUCCUUUCUCCCGGAGAAUAUGAAAUUGCUCGGGAGAGAGAAUAGCCCGCCACUCUUCCUCCGUCUUUUGAAUCGAAGCUGGUGCAGCCAUCGCCAAUUAUCUACCUUUCUCUUCCCUCCAACGAGACUGACUCGAUCACUCGACUGCAGCUCAGAGGUAUAUUCUUUCUUUCUUUCUUUUUUUCUCCUUCAUCACUUGAAGAGAAUUUUUUUUUUUUUAAAUAAGAUUGUUUGUUUUUGAUUUAUUAUUUCUUUGUUCAGCUGUCGAUUUCAAAUAA